rnacentral:rRNA from 1 species
AAUAUUGGACAAUGGGCGAAAGCGUGAUCCAGCCAUGCCGCGUGUGUGAAGAAGGUCUUCGGAGUGUCCCGCACUUUACGUUGAGAGGAAGGGUUGUAGGUUAAUACCCUGCAAUUUUGCCGUUACCAACAGAAUAAGCACCGGCUAACUUCGUGCCAGCAGCCGCGGUACUAGGAAGGGUGCAAGCGUUAAGCGGAAUUACUGGGCGUAAAGCGCGCGUAGGUGGUUCGUUAAGUUGGAAGUGAAAGCCCCGGGCUUAACCUGGGAAUUGCUUUCAAAACUGACGAGCUAGAGUACGGUAGAGGGUAGUGGAAUUUCCUGUGUAGCGGUGAAAUGCGUAGAUAUAGGAAGGAACAUCAGUGGCGAAGGCGACUACCUGGACUGAUACUGACACUGAGGUGCGAAAGCGUGGGGAGCAAACAGG